UACGUAGGGUCCGAGCGUUGUCCGGAAUUAUUGGGCGUAAAGGGCUCGUAGGCGGUUUGUCGCGUCGGGGAGUGAAAACUCAGGGCUCAACCCUGAGCGUGCUUCCGAUACGGGCAGACUAGAGGUAUUCAGGGGAGAACGGAAUUCCUGGUGUAGCGGUGGAAUGCGCAGAUAUCAGGAGGAACACCGGUGGCGAAGGCGGUUCUCUGGGAAUUACCUGACGCUGAGGAGCGAAAGCAUGGGGAGCGAACAGG
rnacentral:rRNA from 1 species